CACGUGGGUAACCUGCCCUGAUGAUUGGGACAACCCGAGGAAACUCGGGCUAAUACCGAAUGUGCCCUCUGGCCUCAAGGCCUCUGGGGAAAGGAAGCUUCGGCCUCCGCAUUGGGAUGGGCCCGCGGCCCAUUAGCUUGUUGGUGAGGUAACGGCUCACCAAGGCAACGAUGGGUAGCUGGUCUGAGAGGACGAUCAGCCACACUGGGACUGAGACACGGCCCAGACUCCUACGGGAGGCAGCAGUGGGGAAUAUUGCACAAUGGGGGAAACCCUGAUGCAGCCAUGCCGCGUGUGUGA
rnacentral:rRNA from 1 species